rnacentral:lncRNA from 1 species
UACUGAUCAGCUACUGAUGCAAGACUUUAUCUGUUGGAUAUUAGUAUACCUUCUAUUUUUUUCGUAUUUCUUGUAUUUCUUAUACUGCUGUUAUUUUGUUAUUUUAUGUUAUAUUAUGUAUUUUAUGUUACUUUAGUAUGAGUCUAUUGAUAGUACUAAUAUAUCGUCUCUUGUUGCUUUCUUGAGCCGAUGGUCUCCUGGAAACAUCCUCUCUGCCCCUCGGGGUAGGGGUAAGGUCUGCGUACAUAUUACCCUCUCCAGACCCACUUGUGGGAUUAUAUUGGGUUGUUGUUGUUGUUGUUGUUGAUAUAAGUCCGACAACACCAUUUCAAUUGAGAUCAUUUCCUUUAUCCAUAUUUGUAAACUUUAAGACCAAAUUUUUUACACUCCAAUCAUUUCUAGAAAGGUUUGAUUUUCACGUCAACACACGAUAUUAGUCCCGACUAGCUAUAGCAACUCGUGCCUACCCACCCAUCAAAUACGAGGUAUUACAUUCUCCUCCACUUAGGGUCAUUCGUCCUUAAAUGAGAAGCAUAGUCCGUCUUCAAACACAUAAUGUAACUUAUCUCUUUCUUUGUAUAUCUCAAUAUCCCAAAUUUUUCUAAUUCCCAAAUUUUUCAGAAAUUUCGGCAGAGUCUCCCCUGUAAUUGGUACUAUCUACCUGUCAGAGUAACACCAAAGCAACUCCUAACAACAUUUCCACAACCCGACAAAGCACCACAAAGUAUAUAUCAAUAACACUAAUCUUCGCAUUACAAACACGACAUUAUCACAAUGAUAUCUUGACAUAGAACGCAUCAUAUGUAUGACCAUAACCACAUCUAUGGUCUUAAUAGUUGUUCAUAAUAGAUUACAACAUCACCAAUUAACCUCAUGUUAACAAAAUUCCAUUUUAAACCUCCAAUUUACUAACAACAAGGCAUGGAGAUCUCAUAAUUACUUACCCGAAUUAACGAGUAGCAAUUUACAUCCUCCGGGCACUCACCUCGUAGUCUAAAACUCAAUAAUUAC